GAGCAUAAUUCUUGAUAGAUCAUAAUGCCUGGAAUGGUUUAUGGUUAAAAUGAUUCGUCGCCAUAGGAUGGGACUGCGGCCUAUCAGUUUGUUGGUGAGGUAAUGGCCCACCAAGACUAUUACAGGUACGGGCUCUGAGAGGAGUAGCCCGGAGAUGGGUACUGAGACACGGACCCAGGCCCUAUGGGGCGCAGCAGGCGAGAAAACUUUGCAAUGUGCGAAAGCACGACAAGGUUAAUCCGAGUGAUUUGUGCUAAACGAAUCUUUUGUUAGUCCUAGAAACACUAACGAAUAAGGGGUGGGCAAGUUCUGGUGUCAGCCGCCGCGGUAAAACCAGCACCUCAAGUGGUCAGGAUGAUUAUUGGGCCUAAAGCAUCCGUAGCCGGCUCUGUAAGUUUUCGGUUAAAUCUGUACGCUUAACGUACAGGCUGCCGGGAAUACUGCAAAGCUAGGGAGUGGGAGAGGUAGACGGUACUCGGUAGGAAGUGGUAAAAUGCUUUGAUCUAUCGAUGACCACCUGUGGCGAAGGCGGUCUACCAGAACACGUCCGACGGUGAGGGAUGAAAGCUGGGGGAGCAAACCGGAUUAGAUACCCGGGUAGUCCCAGCUGUAAACUAUGCAAACUCAGUGAUGCAUUGGCUUGUGGCCAAUGCAGUGCUGCAGGGAAGCCGUUAAGUUUGCCGCCUGGGAAGUACGUACGCAAGUAUGAAACUUA
rnacentral:rRNA from 1 species